rnacentral:lncRNA from 1 species
CCACGCGUCUCAUUCUGCAGGUAAGAUUCCAGAAUUUCAGUCCCCUUGUGCUACUCUCUUUCUUCUGCUCUCUCAUCCUCCCGCAGCAUGUAUGCUGGCCCUAUUUCUUCGUGGUUUGGUUGUGGAGUUAUGAGAGUUUUCCUGCCUUAGUAAAGGCUUUCAUUCUUUGUUUCCAACUGAUUCUUUCCAAGAUUCCUGGAUACAACAUUGGGGCCACUCCCAUA